UCCAUCAGCUUAGUUUCAAGGUUCAAAGGUCAAAGUGGGUUUGCUUAUAAUGGAGUCUGCCCGCAGACAUGGUUUUGUGUAUAAAUAGGCAGACAGUGUCUCAUGUAUUUCUGGCCUCCUGCUGCAUGAAUCCAAACACCCAACUGUGUGCAAGACAGUGUGGGUGAGCAGGCCACAGCGUCGUUGUCUUUCUGGAAAUGCAGGGAUGACGUCCUUUCUUUCCCUCCUGUUCAAAGGAUGACUUGAAAUAUCUGAAUGUCAUGUGAUGAAAACCAUAGCAAAAAAGUCAGCCGAAAGCCGUGUGUUAGGACAAGGCACGACGAAGCAGUGUGGACAGGGAGAGAAGUCACAGUGGAAAGCAGCUUCCCCGAUGACAUUUCACAACACUACGCCAGAAGUCCGAGAGAAGCUUAAUUAGUAAAAACCACAUAAAAUGAUUCAUUACUUUGUUCAAAUGCUAUGGUGGACCUAAAUAACAAAUAAUACAUGAGAUCCAUGUCUAUUUCUUUUGUACAGAA